GAUGAACGCUGGCGGCGUGCCUAAUACAUGCAAGUCGAGCGAACAGACGAGGAGCUUGCUCCUCUGACGUUAGCGGCGGACGGGUGAGUAACACGUGGAUAACCUACCUAUAAGACUGGGAUAACUUCGGGAAACCGGAGCUAAUACCGGAUAAUAUAUUGAACCGCAUGGUUCAAUAGUGAAAGACGGUUUUGCUGUCACUUAUAGAUGGAUCCGCGCCGCAUUAGCUAGUUGGUAAGGUAACGGCUUACCAAGGCAACGAUGCGUAGCCGACCUGAGAGGGGGAUCGGCCACACUGGAGCUGAGACACGGUCCAGACUCCUACGGGAGGCAGUAGUAGGGAGUCUUCCGCAAUGGGCGAAAGCCUGACGGAGCAACGCCGCGUGAGUGAUGAAGGUCUUCGGAUCGUAAAACUCUGUUAUUAGGGAAGAACAAAUGUGUAAGUAACGAUGCACGUCUUGACGGUACCUAAUCAGAAAGCCACGGCUAACUACGU
rnacentral:rRNA from 1 species